CUCGAUCAUCAAUUUUCUUUCGAGUAUCUCGUAGUAUGACAUCGUUAUCCCAGGUAUUUCGUCGACACACAAAGUGAACGGCGGCGGCCGAAAGAGUCGACGCGCGCGUAACUAUAUAUAGUCGAUAUUUCUUCUUCUCCUUAUUCGAACGGAAACGUCGUUGCAUUGUAAGUAAUUGGAAAUAAAUCGCGUCCUUGUCACACGUUCUCGCUUCCAAUAUGCGUCGCUCUGUGUAGUAGUCGUGUGCAUUAUUUCUGUCGUCAAACGGCCUUGGGUUUCGCACGCGCGUAAACGGACGUCGGGCGGCUGGACCGGACGUCCAUGGGACGCGAUAGAGUCGCCGCCGUCCUCUCUUCGUUCGGAGAGCGUCGAAUGGCGACGAAAAAACGGCAUUUUUACGGUGCCGUGGAUGCACUCAAAGGCUGAGACCCCGACAGUCCAGUAAAUGAUUAUAAUACGGCACGAAAAUGUCGUACCGCUCACAAAAACACCAUGAUAUUAAUAUAUUAUACUCAGCGCAUAGCCUAACCUAACUCUAGGAGAGCUCUGUCCUCUUUACCAAAUACAGUCAUAAACAGUUGCACACAUUUUUGUACGAGGAUCGAUAAUUAUAUAAUAAUAUCGAAUUGGAGGAGUAAUUUAAUAAUUAUGAGAUAACACUUCAGUUUUCCAAACCGCUCAUCACUGUAUUGAGUAACAGUUAAUUGACUAUAUAGAUUGUAGAAAUGUCAGUCUAUGCGAUCCACAUUAAACGGUAACGUGUAUAUCAACGAUCACCUCAACCAGAACCAAGGAAGAGGCUAUGGAACCAUCAUUCUUAUUUCCCGGGUUCAGCUGUAGCAAAUAGCAAUGAUGUUCUAACACAACUGUCUUAUCAUCAUCAUGUUAUUGCCUAUUGCCAUACAGUAUACUGCUUUUAAAUAAAAUAUUAAAAUUUUGAAUUUGAA